rnacentral:rRNA from 1 species
CCCUUAGAUGUUCUGGGCAGCACGCGCGCUACAAUGGUCUUCGCGAACGGAUGCAUUCUCGAAGGAGAAUGCCAAUCUUGGAAUCUAUGCCUUGGUCGGGACAGUUGCUUGCAAUUUUUCGACUCGAACCAGGAAUUCCUUGUAAUCGUGAUUCAUCACAUCACGAUGAAUACGUCCCUGCCCUUUGUACACACCGCCCGUCGCUCCUACCGAUCGAAGAGUUAGGUGAAUUGUUUUGAUCGAUAAGAUUUGACUAUGGUCAACUCUCGUUGUGAAAUUCUGUGAAUCUGACUGUUUAGAGGAAGGAAAAGUCGUAACA